rnacentral:tRNA from 1 species
GCGGGAGUAGCUCAGUCGGUAGAGCAUCUGCUUCCCAAGCAGAGGGUCGCGAGUUCGAGUCUCGUCUCCCGCUCCA